rnacentral:tRNA from 1 species
GCUAAGAUGACAGAAUUUAUGUGUUAGAUUUAGGAUUUAAUUAUGCUAAGGCUUUUAGCA